rnacentral:misc_RNA from 1 species
GGAAGUUUCUCAAAUAAUCCGAAGCUGAACAGUGUAGUCGGGCAUCUUCUCCAUUCGUCCAUCCUAGUUCCGUACAAUGGCUGGAAGAUUAGUCACCGGACGCACCACCAGAACCACGGGCAUGUCGAGAACGACGAGUCGUGGCAUCCUUUGUCGGAGAACUUAUAUAGGAAUUUGGAUUCGAUAACUAAGGGAUUGCGGUUCACGGUCCCUUUCCCUUUGCUAGCUUACCCUUUUUAUCUGUUUUCGAGGAGUCCGGGGAAGAAAGGAUCACACUUUCACCCGAGUAGUGAUCUCUUCCUUCCGAAUGAGAAGAAGGAUGUGAUCACAUCGACCGCAUGCUGGACGGCGAUGGCUGCCCUCCUUGUC